UUGAGCAGGGAUUGGAUUAAAUAGAUCAGCGUUUCCCAACCUUUGCCAGCCCAGGGCACACUUACAUUAAUAAAAACGUUAUGCGGCACACAAUCCCCCUCACCCAGCACCUUCUGAAUAUUUAAAGAAAACUUACUUUCAAUGUGAAAUCUGGGUGUGUCUCAAUGUGCAGAGUUGUUUUAUCCUGGCAGGAACAAAUGAUAGUACAACUCAGAGCACUUGCUCCAUCCGUCUCAGAUGCUUUUUUUAUUUUUGAUGCAAGUCAGGCUCAUACAGGUAUGCUGUCAAAAAUGGCAACAACACUGAGAUCCCAUGUUCUGAUAAUACUAGAGAUAUUUGUCUGUAAAAGUCAACCAGAAUGAGUCCAACAGCAUGUCACCAAAUUUAAUUUUAAAGUUGUGAUCCAUCCUUAAUACAGUAAGUUGCUCUUGAGCCGUUACUGAAAUAUGCUUAGUACCUUCCACUGCAGAUGAAAUCCAAGGACCAUGGAUCCAGCUGAAAUCUUCGAUAUGAACUGAAGGGAAAUAAAAACUAAAUUUCUCUUCAAGACUUUUCAAAUGCGGAGAAAUUACAUUGGUCAAAACACUGCUAGUUGGAUAUGUAGAAUUUGCCAGGGAAGGUUUUCGUUUCUUCCUUACAUUUUCCUGUUCCGAUCAUUGAGGUGUUGGAAUAUGUCACCCACGUAGGCAAGCUGUGCACACUACAUGCUACAACAUCAACAAUCAGAUCUGCGUAUGCAGAUUGGUCUGAAGUUAAGAUUUUUACUUUCUCUCUUAGCUGAUACAAAUGUGACGGAACUUUUCCAUGGGAAAGCCAGUGUGCUUCCCUGUGCAAAAGCAAACUCUGAUGUUCUGCUCCCAUAUCCUCAUGUAAUGAUGAGAAGGGCUGUGCUUGUAUUAAGUUCACUAUUUUUAUUGCUCCAUCCAACACUGAGGAGAGUUCUUUUAGUAAUAUUUUGACCACAAGCACUUAACCCACUGUUUCCUGCAUGGGGGAAUCAGCACAUUGGGGGUUUUUUGCUUGAUUUUGUUUAAAAACCCUUUCAUUUUCCCUAUCAUAGAAGUCACCCCAUCUGGGCAGACACUUGGGCAGUUUUUCCAUUUCAGUUUUCUCUCCUUCAGAUAGGCUGUUCUCACCCUGAAUACUUCCUCUCCAUUUGUGUUACCUGGUAGCUCUUUGCAAAAUAAAAAAAAAAAUCUUUUAUACCAACUCUGACAAUGAACCUGGCAUUAGCCAAGAGCUGAGCACAACCACCAAUGUCUAUAGACUCAUCAAGCUGCAAAGCAAAUUUUUUGCUUUUUUUUUUUUUUUUUCAAACAACAGUUUCAAGAUCAGCAGACAUGUCAACCAUGUGGCGACUUAUCAUACUGUCUGAAAGGGGAACCUUUGUGAUUUCAUUGUUUGCAUCUGAGCCAAACAUUACUUUCAAAAUCUCUUUACAUGCUGGUAAAAUUAAAGACUCUGCGAUUGUAUGUGGCUUUUUUUAUCUCCGCAACAAGCUUAGCAAUCAAGU